CAUCGCUCCUUGUAAAAAAUAAAUUAGGAGUACUGCCUGCCCAGUGACUAAGUUUAACGGCCGCGGUAUCUUGACCGUGCAAAGGUAGCAUAAUAAUUUGCUCUUUAAUUGAGGGCUAGUAUGAAAGGCAAGACGAAGGCAAGACUGUCUCCUUUUUAAAAAAAGAAAUUAAUAUUUUAGUGAAGAAGCUAAAAUAAAAACGCAAGACGAGAAGACCCUGUCGAGCUUAAGAAAAUUUUUAUAUUAAUUAAAAAAGAAAGCUAAUUAAAAAUUAUAAAAAAUAUACUUUAAUAUUAAAAAACAAUUUAAAUAAAAAUAUCUUUGGUUGGGGCAACCACGAAGAAAAAACAACCUUCGAUUCUUAAAUAAAAAUUUACAAAUUUAAAAGUUUAUUGAAACUUUAAAUGAUCCGGAAAUAACCGAACAAAGGAAAAAGUUACCGCAGGGAUAACAGCGUUAUUCUCUUUGAGAGUUCAUAUUGACAAGAGAGUUUGCGACCUCGAUGUUGGACCGGGGCAUCCAAGAGAUGCAGAAGUCUCUAAAGGUAGGUCUGUUCGACCUUUAAAGCCCUACGUGA
rnacentral:rRNA from 1 species